AAAUAAUAUUAGAAAAAGUAAUAAACUACGAAAUUGAAACUAUAAAUUAUCUAGAACAGUUAUACGAAGAAAUUUACCCAGAAGGAUAUUAUUCAAAUUAAAAAAUGUUGGAAUAUAUUAGACAAACUAGAGAAAAUCAAGAAAAUCUAAAUAAUGAAAUUAAUUAUAGAAACCGAAUUAGACAAAUAAUGAAAGACCUAAAAGAAAAAUUAAUAUGGAUAGAAAAAACCUUAGAAAAUUUAGAUAAAAGUACAUGUGAUAGUUUAUAUAAUUUAAAAAACUCACUACGAGAAGAACAACACAAAAUAAUAAAUAACAUUGAAAAUCUAGAAUUAGAUAUAUAUUAUAGCACAGAUAGGAUAAAUUAUUAUACAAGAAUUUGUAACUCUGUAAUUACUACAGGAUAAAAUAAUUAAUGAAUAUAUUUUACGAAAAAAGUAAAUUAUUAAAAGAUAACAUCCACGCACUAAAUAAAAAUAGAUUCCCUACAAAUAUGUACAAAAUCUAU
rnacentral:lncRNA from 1 species